rnacentral:rRNA from 1 species
AUUGAACGCUGGCGGCAGGCUUAACACAUGCAAGUCGAGCGGAGUGGCGGACGGGUGCGUAAUGCCUAGGAAUAUGCCUGGUAGUGGGGGAUAACGUCCGGAAACGGGCGCUAAUACCGCAUACUCUCAGAUGAGCCCAGGUCGGAUUAGCUAGUAGGUGGGGUAAAGGCCUACCAAGGCGACGAUCCGUACCUGGUCUGAGAGGAUGAUCAGUCACACUGGAACUGGACCACGGUCCGGACUCCUACGGGAGGCAGCAGUGGGGAAGAUUGCACAAUGGGGGCAAGCCUGAUGCAGCCAUGCCGCGUAUGUGAAGAAGGCCUUCGGGUUGUAAAGCACUUUCAGCGGGGAGGCGUUACCCGCAGAAGAAGCACCGGCUAACUCCGUGCCAGCAGCCGCGGUAAUAC